UACAGAGGGUGCAAACGUUGUUCGGAUUUACUGGGCGUAAAGCGUGCGCAGGCGGUGAUGUAAGACAGGUGUGAAAUCCCCGGGCUUAACCUGUGAACUGCAUUUGUGACUGCAUCGCUGGAGUGCGGCAGAGGGGGAUGGAAUUCCGCGUGUAGCAGUGAAAUGCGUAGAUAUGCGGAGGAACACCGAUGGCGAAGGCAAUCCCCUGGGCCUGCACUGACGCUCAUGCACGAAAGCGUGGGGAGCAAACAGG
rnacentral:rRNA from 1 species